UCUUGUCGCCACGAGACGCCACCGCCGGCAGUAAGAAGCAGAACUCACUGUAAGUGUAAGUCUGUAACUCCUUACUCCCGUCGCCACUUUCUGUUUUUUUUUUUUUUAAUUUUUUUAUAAUUUCUGCUAAUUUAUAAAGGAUAGGUUACUUGAAUUGAACUUAGAGAUUUAAAUGUUGAAUUGAAAUUAGAGAUUACUAAUUACUAAUUACUUCAUUACUUGAAUAGUUGAAUUGAAAUUACUUGAAUUGAAAUUAGAGAUUACUUCAUUACUUGAAUUGAAAUUGAGAUUACUUGAAUUGAAAGUAGAGAUUGUAAAAUUGAAAUAGAGGUUGUGAAUUGAAAUUAGUUGAAUUUGGAAUUAAAUGUUGUGAAAUGUAAUUUGAAACAAGAAACUUAACUCAAGUAUUGUAUUUUGUUUUAUUUGAAUUUUUCUCAUCCGUACAGUAAUACGCCACUGCAGAGUCUCAAUACUAACCAAAGAUCAAAAUGAGUGCUGAACCUCAAGAGUUCCAUGUAGUUCUGUUCCCAUUCAUGGCACAUGGCCAUAUGAUUCCAAUGCUCGAUAUAGCGAGGCUCUUUGCAGCUCGCGACAAUGUAAAAGCAACCAUUAUCACCACGCAGCUCAACAUCGCCACCUUCAAUAAAGCCAUUGAAAUUAACAAGACAACCAGAACCCCAAUCUUUAACAUUGAGGUGUUCAAGUUUCCUGCACAAGAAAUUGGCUUGCCAGAAGGUUUUGAUAACCUGGAGCAAGUAUUAAGACCUGAGUUUUUCGACAAGUUCUUCGAAGCUACUGAGUUGCUAAACGAGCAGCUUGAGAAGUAUUUAGAGAAGGUCCGACCUAACUGCCUUGUUGCUGACAUGUUCUUUCCAUGGGUGACUGACUCGGCAGCCAAGUUUAACAUCCCUAGGCUAGUUUUCAUGGAAUCAGCACCUUUGCCCUUUGUGCUCAAGAAAUUAUUAGGCUGUAUGAGCCCUUUAACAAUGUCUCCUCUGAUGAAGAGCCUUUUGUUCUUCCUCUUCUCCCCCAUGAGAUACAAUUGAGAAGAUUGCAGAUCUCCGAGGAAAUAAGGGAAAAUGAGGAGACAGACUACAAAAGGACGACAGCAAAUAUCAAGGAAUCAGAGCUUAAGAGUUAUGGAGUGAUUAUAAACAGCUUUUAUGAGUUGGAACCAGAUUAUGCAAAGUUUUAUAGGAAAGAAUUGGGAAUGAGGUCAUGGAACGUAGGUCCAGUUUCACUGAGCAACAGAAGCAUAGAGGAUAAGAAUCAGGGAGACAAACAGGCUUUGAUAGAUGAGCACGAGUGCUUGGAAUGGCUGGACUCAAAGAAGCCUGAUUCUGUUACUUACAUCUGUUUUGGCAGUACAACAAGCUUCAUAGCUCCUCAACUGCAUGAGAUUGCAAUGGCUCUAGAAGCAUCAGGAGAAGACUUCAUCUGGGUAGUAAAAGGUGAAGAGUGGCUGCCAACAGGAUUCAAGCAACGGAUGGAAGGGAAAGGCUUCAUAAUAACAGGAUGGGCUCCCCAGGUAUUGAUCUUAGAGCAUGAAGCUAUACGAGCAUUCAUGACACACUGUGGAUGGAAUUCGAUAUUAGAAGGGAUCUCAGCUGGUGUACCGAUGGUUACGUGGCCUAUUUUCGCUGAACAAUUUUAUAACGAAAAGUUGGUCAAUCAGAUUCUGAAGACUGGUGUUCCUGUAGGAGCUAAGAAGUGGAGUAGGACACCUUCAUUAGAGGAUCUCAUUAAGUGCGAUGCUAUAGAGAAAGCGCUAAGAGAAGUUAUGGUGGGAAAAGAGGCGGAGGAGAGAAGAAAAAGAGCAAAAAAGUUGAAGAAAAAGGCAUAUAUGGCUGUAGAAGAAGGUGGCUCAUCAUAUUCCGACCUAACUGCAUUGAUAAAUGAGUUAAGGGGCUAUCGUCUCCAAGAGCAAGAGUAGCCUUUAAAAAUAAUUAAAGUUCAAUUCUUAUCCUCCAUUAAAGUCCUCCAUAAUUCUACCUCCCCUGUAAUUUGUCCUCUUUUAUUUGUUGGAUCGUUCAAAAUAUGAAAUAAAAAGGCAGACAAAAACAUGGA